UGCCAGCCGCCGCGGUAAUACGGAGGGGGCUAGCGUUGUUCGGAAUUACUGGGCGUAAAGCGCGCGUAGGCGGAUUAGUCAGUUGGAGGUGAAAUCCCGGAGCUCAACUCCGGAAUUGCCUUCAAUACUGCUAGUCUUGAGUUCGAGAGAGGGUGGUGGAAUUCCCAGUGUAGAGGUGAAAUUCGUAGAUAUUGGGAAGAACACCAGUGGCGAAGGCGGCCACCUGGCUCGAUACUGACGCUGAGGUGCGAAAGCGUGGGGAGCAAACAGGAUUAGAUA
rnacentral:rRNA from 1 species